rnacentral:rRNA from 1 species
UUAAAUUGAAGAGUUUGAUCAUGGCUCAGAUUGAACGCUGGCGGCAGGCCUAACACAUGCAAGUCGAACGGUAACAGGAAUCAGCUUGCUGAUUCGCUGACGAGUGGCGGACGGGUGAGUAAUGUCUGGGAAACUGCCUGAUGGAGGGGGAUAACUACUGGAAACGGUAGCUAAUACCGCAUAAUGUCGCAAGACCAAAGAGGGGGACCUUC